rnacentral:lncRNA from 1 species
UGAUUCAAGCUCGGCGCCUGAAGGUCGUUAAUGGAGAAGAAGAAGAAGAUCAUGAAGAAGAAGAGCAAUAAGGAUGUCAUGUGUUUGUCUGGACUUGGAUUAGAUGGGUCGGUCGAUGGGGUGUUGCAUUGUUUUGCUUUGACGCCUCGUGUCUUGUGAUGGGCGUGCUUGUAGUAUGAACUGCCAAGUGUUAUGUAGUUCCUUUCCGGUUGAAUUGUUAUUCCCUGUCGAGGACGAAACGGAGAUUUGGUUGCCCUCAUUUGGCCAUUGAGCUCAUGUCAUUGUUUGUUUUACCAGCUUGUUGUCGUGCC